ensembl:lincRNA A830019P07Rik RIKEN cDNA A830019P07 gene
CAGAGAGUCACAUGGAAAAGCCCUGAGACCGCAUGGAAGAGCAUACUGUUUUCCAGCCUCUCCUAUUUCCUCCAACUUCCUGUUUGUCCGUUGUCAGCCACUGUGGGACAAGGGAAUGGGAUCUUAAGGGACUUCCUUAUUGGAACCUCAUCAUGACGUCCAGAAACAGGAGAAAUGGUCUCUGUCAUUUUACACCAUGGAGGUUUGAGCAGCUCUUGGCAAGGACAAUUCUUCCCUCUUUGGCCAUGUUCGGGUCUGGCCAUUUAUGUGAACUUCAACUGAGCCUCCAUGAGUUUGAUUUUCCAGUUCGUUUCUCUUCGUUGUUCAGGACCAUUUUGGAGCCAAAUGCCAAGUUUAACUGACAUAGGGGAGACAUAUACCCAGGACUCAGUGGCAUAAGAACAAGGACCACAUCAGGAGAGCAAGAGUUCAAAUUAGCCACGUGCCUAAAGAAGCAAACAUUGGUGCCAUGUAUAUACAAGCGAAGGAACCCUGGAAGCUAACAGAAUCUGAAAAAAAGCAAAGAAAAUAUUCUCCCUUAUGGUGCAUCCAUAAAACAUAAUGUCCGUUGCUGACACAUCAAUUUCAUUAACAUCUUUUACUUUUUAAUCCAGAAAUAUAAAGCAGUAAGUACUUGAGCUACUUAAUUUAUGUAAUUUGUUGCAAUGAUAGUAGAAACUAUAUAUAUGAGAGAUAAAAAGCCAUAGGAGCAAAAAUAUGUAAUUUUUUUCCCACAAGAAACCUGUUUCCCAAAUAAAAACAAGGAUGAAAGAAUAAAGUCCCCUGGGUAAAGCAUGUGAGUGAAUUGCCUUCAUGUGACUUUACAAAGUCUUUUACCAAUUCCAGCUUGCUGGACCUAGCAAUUUAUAAUGGCUACCAUCUUCCUUUAAAUAUGUAUUUUACUCAUAUCAGUCUGAGAUAAUUUGUGCUUUGGUGAGACCAAUUCUGUCUCUGUAGGUUUGAUUUUGUAUCAUUUUUGCUUUGGUGUACUCUCUGUUCAUUUAAAAUUUGUCCUUAGAAGUCAAAGCCAUUCACAUUCUUUCUGGAUGAUUUGGUAGAGACUCAUGCUCAUUCUAUGUAUUAAGGCUACUCAUAAAGAAAGAUAUUUAACAAAGAAAUCAUCCAGUGAACAGAAACGUCUCUUGUUCAGCAUGUACCAGCACCUACUAGUAUCUGGGUGAUAUUCAGAGGACAGCACCAGUGCACAUCCAUCUGGAUGAAACUACACUUCUACUACUCAUUUUUUUAAUGCUAGAGGGCAAUCAGCUUUACCAUAAAGGCUACUAGAUGAUGCUCUGUACUAUUGACUCUUCAAUCAACUGCAUACUUAUGUUUCCCUUUUUGUUUUGCAACCACAUGAUUCUGACAUAUAAAAUCUACGUGCAUGUCAUUUUUAAAUAUACAUUGUGAAGUUAUUUCUAUAUUCUCAUUAUUUAAUGUAUCUAUCAUCUAUGCAUUGUUAGCAUUUUGUACACUUAAAUAAGGAAAAUUGUAGCAAAAAUCUUCAGUGUAUGCUGUCAUAUAUUACAGUUUCCUACUAACACUCAGAUGUAUCUCCGUGUUGUUGAACAGAGCACAAUUCCUCAAGACACUUAUAAGAAAUUGGCAUUGAAAU